UUGUAUAUAGUUUGUCUUUUAUUAUACAUAACGUUUAUUUUGUUUAAAUCAAAGUUCUGUCUCAGCAGCCGUGAGGACGAACUGUGGCGUUGUUUUCCUGAGCACGAAGCGGUCGGCAAGCUUUGUUUUAUACAAUGAUUUGCGGACAUUGAUGACCGUUCCCUUCUCCCUCUGCGGGAGCUGUGGAGGGAGGAAACGCUGUCUGAGCGGU